UUUGCAACUAGCAACGGUUGGGUAGCCUGUUUCCUUCUUACCUCACUUCCUUUAGCGUCAUAACGCCAGUUAAUUUCGUUUACUUGAAAACGCGUGUCUUGUGUUAUUUCAUUCUGUAGAACAGAUAUUAUUUCACGCAAAGACGAUAUUUCUUCGAACAACAUCGCUAUUAAAGUGCUGUGUGGUUAAGUUCUCAUUUACCAAGUCAUCGUGUGAUGAGCAAAAAAACAAAAACAAAACAGAACAAUUCAUUAUUAGGUGUCUUUUCCUCACAUACGUCGCUACAUUUAUUAAAAUGAUACCAUUUAUCGCAAUGGUCACAAAAUAUUCCAUUUCCAACUACUUUUUUACGCGUGCCACACGUAUUAUCUAUUAAAAUGUUACAGCAUAAUGCAUACAUGCACCCACUUUCUGCCAUGUUUACUAAUUCGGUUAUUUCAACGCCCGGAACCAAACCUCAUCUUCCAGGUGGAAAUGCUGUCCUGGGUGCAUAAAUGAAAUAUCCAAGGAAUUCAGUGAAGCUCAUGUUGACUGCAUUGCGAUAUUGGUCAUUCUUCUUAUAUGGCUUAUUGUAAAACACAACAGAGAGCACUCCAACAGAAAUCGCCAACCCUUGCAAGGGGAGCAUGAAGAAAUAAAGUUUUCUUUGAAAGGGGUAAGAACUGCGGCAAGAAGACUCGCAUCCAUACAUAUAGGACGUAGAAGGGCAAAUCAAGGAAUUGAAGAAAGACAAGGAAUGGAAAUGAAGCCAAUAAAGGAAGACAAAGGGGAAAUCAAGGAAGUUAAGAAAGACAAGGGGAAAUGAAGGCAAUGAAGAAAGACAAAAAAAAGGGAAAUGAAGGCACUGGAGGAAGAGAAAGAAAGGCAAAUGAAGGCAAUGAGGAAGAAGAACAGGAAGGCAACCAAAAAAUAAACAAAAAAAAGACGAAGAAAUGAAAUUUGUCAGAUACUAGAGAAAAAAUGGGAGUUCGGUGGGACCGCACAUCAAUUAUUUAUAGAUUUCAAAAAAGCGUGUGACUCUGUGAAUAGAGAAGUGUUAUAUAACAUUCUUAUUGAAUUUGGUUUACCAAAUAAGCUAGUGAGUCUAAUAGAAAUGUGCUUAAAUGAAACCCGUAGCAAAAUUUGAGAAGGUAAAUAUU